rnacentral:lncRNA from 1 species
CACAUUCUGUCUUGUCAGUGUGGACACUGUAGUGCGUACCUUUAUGAAACACACAAAGAAGGUUCUAGAAUGUUCUGUUCUCUUUCCAGCCUCACUUUCCUCCCAUGAUGCCACUCUCUGAGGACCAGCUGGGAGGUUGCUAGUGACUACCCUGGGAGACACCCCACCCACCUGUGUCUUGGGGGAUUCUGAAACAGGUGCAAGAUGCCAGCCUGCUUAGGGGCAGAAACAUAACAGGACUGAUGCACAGAUGAAUUCAGAGACUGUGACAGUGUACCCAAGACCUGCACAGGUUCAAACCAGAGGGGGUCCCAACAAUGAGAGAGAAGUAGACCAGGGGUCCCACGCUUAAUCAAGAAGGUAUGUGCAAUUGAUACCUGCUGGCUACAGUGGCGUGCCACUACACUCCUGAGCAGACCUCAUGCCUA